CAUCACAAGACCAGUGCACUAUGCAUUUCAAGGCGCAUAUUAUUAUUUUCUCAUUCCUACUUUUCUUUUUAACCAAAACGUUGAAUCCCUUCAAAAGACUCAAUAGCAAAAGUCAAUGCGAACAACAGGUAUUAUUCCAGGCUUUACGAUGUAAGAUGAGAGACGUUGAGCUAAAAAAAAAAAAUAGUGUUGUGAUUCAUCGAUCUCCAAGUCCUCUGCCUCGCACGCUCUCCUAAUGCGAAGGGUAAAAGUUCGACAAUUUAAGCGUGGUUCAGCAUGUUGGUUGUUCUUUCUCCAGACUUCAACUUUGAACGACAGCAUUCUUAGGCACUCGUCAUCAUUGGAGGCACAGCCAAGAGCCAGAGACAAGACUGGACCUGCCGGUGACAUUGUCAUCAUCCAGCAUGAAUUACGCCGGACAUGCAUAAUGGAUGACAGUCAACUUGAUUCGCGCGGCGGGGCGACACCCACAUUAUCGCGAUGAAGACAGAAGACGAGGAGUGCGCUGUUUGUGCAGUGGUGUAAGAAUACAUCGUUGGGGUACAAGAAGGCACACUCACUUCUUGUUUUUUAUUAGAUUUUUUUUUUAUAAUGAUUGCCUUCUUUUCAUGCAAAUAUGUAGUAUAAUUAUGAUGUGCAACUCGCUCGGGCUUACAAUUUCGGGUUACGUAGCCACUGUAGAAACGGAACGCUUCCGUAAACUGAGCACCCCCGCCUUUGUCAGCCAUAUUUUUUUUGUUCACAUUUGACUAGAACACUUUGAUGCAGGACUGAUGCCGGACUCUCCAGAAUUUCUGAUUUCUGAUUUCCCAUGAAUGUUGCACACCAGGUCUGCAGGUGGCAGUAAGGGGCAUUACAAAGUGCUUGGGAAACGAAUGAAGAACAAAACAUUUCUGCCAUCGUCUUGUGAAUGAGUGUUGUUGAUGAUAAUCCUGAAUGCUCCCUGAAAUGUUAUCCCUCUGUGGAAAUUGGGUAAGUAGUUUUUGUGUUAUCCUGCACAAAGUCAAACACACAAACGCAAAAUGAAAACACUCGCAAGGAGCGUGGAACAGACACUCACGUGGAAUUAACCGUGUGGUAAAUGGCUAAGCCGACUGUCUCCAGCUCCUGAUGUCACUAGGCCACGCCCCUUAAUGGCCCACCUCCACGUACAUAUGGUACACCACAUUUGUGUGACUUUGGCUUAACUUUAUAAAACCAGUUUAUUUCUUUACAUUCUCUUUUGUUUUUACAUUUACGCAGUUCUAUUUUUCUUGACAAAAACAACAACAACAACAACAAGAUCAACGGGGAAAAUUGAUUUGCUACACAACUAAACUGAGUACAGCUGUAGUUGAAGGUUUUGAGACUGUUGGUUUAGACAGGAAAUGUCACACACAUCAUGACCAGGCCUCGUGACGAGCGCACUUUUCAAGCAGCAGUGGGCAAAAGGAGCACUCAGUCUGAUUGAAAUGUGAAGCAGCAUGACAAAGGAAGGGAAAGAAGAGGUCUAUCAAAAGCAGGUUCAAGCUUUGAUUGCGUUGGCUUCUUUUUAAGAUAACCACACAACGGCGAGCAUCUCCUUACAUGACAGCCAAAUUACAUCUUCGGCCUCAGCUGUGCACAAUCACAGGUUAGCGCCGAUUGGGUGUAAUCUGCUGUGCUGAUGUUGAAGUGCGCCGCCGGUAAUUGAACUGUUUCUCUGUGCUGGUGACUCAGAUCACUUUAAAUCCCACGUGCGUGGUGUUCUUGAGAUGACCAUCACAGCACACCAGAGGCAUAACUCUACCGAUUGAGCCUUUUCCGGGCUUAGAAUGGACAUUGACACGAAGCAUACCGAGUCAAAACUGAAGGGAAAAUGCCCCAAGCAACAACAAACACGAAGUGAAGACAGUUGGAGUAAAGGCCUGGCAGAGACUCACCAGGGAAGGAAAGCAACGUCUGGUGAAUUCUAUGCCUACCAGAGUUCAGGCUAUAAUUGACCGCAAAGUAUGUGAAACUAAGUACUAAAAAGUGAAUCUUUGCUGUAUGAUUGUUAAUUUGUCUCGCUACUUUUGGUACAAACUGUUGUUAUUCCUACUCUGUUCACCUGAAUUGGAUGUAAAUACUCUCAAAUUAAAUCUGAAAG